GUGGAUUAGAUACCCUAGUAGUCCUGGCCGUAAACGAUGGGUACUAGGUGUAGGAGGUAUCGACCCCUUCUGUGCCGUAGUUAACGCAGUAAGUACCCCGCCUGGGGAGUACGGCCGCAAGGUUGAAACUCAAAGGAAUUGACGGGGGCCCGCACAAGCGGUGGAGUAUGUGGUUUAAUUCGACGCAACGCGAAGAACCUUACCAGGUCUUGACAUUGAUGGACAGGUCCAGAGAUGGACUCUCUUCUUCGGAAGCCAGAAAACAGGUGGUGCACGGCCGUCGUCAACU
rnacentral:rRNA from 1 species